rnacentral:rRNA from 1 species
AACGAACGCUGGCGGCAGGCCUAACACAUGCAAGUCGAGCGGACCUUUCGGGGUCAGCGGCGGACGGGUGAGUAACGCGUGGGAAUAUGCCCUUCUCUACGGAAUAGUCCUGGGAAACUGGGGGUAAUACCGUAUACGCCCUUUGGGGGAAAGAUUUAUCGGGGAAGGAUUAGCCCGCGUUGGAUUAGGUAGUUGGUGGGGUAAUGGCCUACCAAGCCGACGAUCCAUAGCUGGUUGGAGAGGAGGAUCAGCCACACUGGGACUGAGACACGGCCCAGACUCCUGCGGGAGGCAGCGGUGGGGAAUCUUAGACAGUGGGGGCAACCCUGAUCGAGCCAUGCCGCGUGAGUGAUGAAGGCCUUAGGGUUGUAAAGCUCUUUCAGCUGGGAAGAUAAUGACGGUACCAGCAGAAGAAGCCCCGGCUAACUCCGUG